rnacentral:rRNA from 1 species
UGCGAACUCCUACGGGAGGCAGCAGUGGGGAAUAUUGCACAAUGGAGGAAACUCUGAUGCAGCGACGCCGCGUGAGGGAAGAAGGUCUUCGGAUUGUAAACCUCUGUUGUCAGGGACGAUAAUGACGGUACCUGACGAGGAAGCCACGGCUAACUACGUGCCAGCAGCCGCGGUAAAACGUAGGUGGCAAGCGUUGUCCGGAAUUACUGGGUGUAAAGGGAGCGCAGGCGGAUUUGCAAGUUGGAAGUGAAACUCAUGGGCUCAACCCAUGAACUGCUUUCAAAACUGCAGAUCUUGAGUGGUGUAGAGGUAGGCGGAAUUCCCGGUGUAGCGGUGGAAUGCGUAGAUAUCGGGAGGAACACCAGUGGCGAAGGCGGCCUACUGGGCACUAACUGACGCUGAGGCUCGAAAGCAUGGGUAGCAAACAGGAUUAGAAACCCUGGUAGUCCAGAUG